rnacentral:rRNA from 1 species
UGGGGAAUUUUGGACAAUGGGCGAAAGCCUGAUCCAGCAAUGCCGCGUGUGUGAAGAAGGCCUUCGGGUUGUAAAGCACUUUUGUCCGGAAAGAAAUCCUUGGCUCUAAUACAGUCGGGGGAUGACGGUACCGGAAGAAUAAGCACCGGCUAACUACGUGCCAGCAGCCGCGGUAAUACGUAGGGUGCAAGCGUUAAUCGGAAUUACUGGGCGUAAAGCGUGCGCAGGCGGUUUGCUAAGACCGAUGUGAAAUCCCCGGGCUCAACCUGGGAACUGCAUUGGUGACUGGCAGGCUAGAGUAUGGCAGAGGGGGGUAGAAUUCCACGUGUAGCAGUGAAAUGCGUAGAGAUGUGGAGGAAUACCGAUGGCGAAGGCAGCCCCCUGGGCCAAUACUGACGCUCAUGCACGAAAGCGCGGGGAGCAAACAGGAUUAGAUACCCUGGUAGUCCACGCCCUAAACGAUGUCAACUAGUUGUUGGGGAUUCAUUUCCUUAGUAACGUAGCUAACGCGCGAAGUUGACCGCCUGGGGAGUACGGUCGCAAGAUUAAAACUCAAAUGAAUUGACGGGG